rnacentral:rRNA from 1 species
ACAACCUUCAAAUGGAGGAUCGAUGGUUUCUCCUCGCUUCUCGAUAAGGAUGAAGGAUGGACCAACUCCAGUGUGUUUGUGAUCAAGGGGCUUAACUGGUACCUGAUGCUGAACCCAAGGGACAGAAAGAGUGGCGACCAGAAUGAAUAUGUUACUCUUAAACUUGUCCUGACUAAAGUAUCUGAGAGAUCCCAUAUGGUCGCGGAGACAACUUUCAAGUUCCUGAUAUAUGACCAAUUAUAUGGGAAGCACCAUGAAGAGCAUCAAGUGAGCCACGAUUUUCAGGCUACAGGCAGAUUCUCUGGGAUCUCAUGCAUGAUCCCCCUCGCGACGUGUGUUUGGCAGUCCUCUGGAUUCCUCGUCAAUGACAGCUGUGUUUUCGGUGUCCAGUUCAUCAAAGUUGUCGCUGUUAAAGGUAACGAUGUGUUGGAGACUCUGUUUCUACAGAAGACUAGCAACAUCAGCAGUGACCCACAAGCCUACACCUGGAACAUUGAUGAUUUCUUUGUGUUGAAGAACCCGAGCACCUCUCCAGAGUUUCAGCUCUGUGGACACAAAUGGUUCAUCACUAUCUAUCCAUCUGGUUCCGAUUCGAAUGGGAACUACAUCUCCCUGUAUCUGAGCAUGAAGGACACACUCCAUAAGGACUCGGGGAUCCUGGCGGAAGUUAGCAUAAGCAUCAAAGACCAGGAAACUGGCAAGCACAUGAAAACAUCAGCCCGGAUCCAGUUCAAGAAUUGUACCCGUACUUGGACAUGGGAGAAGUUGAUAUCGCUGGAAGAUUUCAAGGACUCAUCAAAAGGUUAUCUCGUGAAGAAAAAGUGCUGCAUUGAAGUCCAGGUUGCAGUCAUUGGUUCCUCCAAAUGGAGUAGCUAG